AAAUUGAAGAGUUUGAUCAUGGCUCAGAUUGAACGCUGGCGGCAGGCCUAACACAUGCAAGUCGAGCGGUAACACAGAGAGCUUGCUCUCGGGUGACGAGCGGCGGACGGGUGAGUAAUGUCUGGGAAACUGCCUGAUGGAGGGGGAUAACUACUGGAAACGGUAGCUAAUACCGCAUAACGUCGCAAGACCAAAGUGGGGGACCUUCGGGCCUCAUGCCAUCAGAUGUGCCCAGAUGGGAUUAGCUAGUAGGUGGGGUAAUGGCUCACCUAGGCGACGAUCCCUAGCUGGUCUGAGAGGAUGACCAGCCACACUGGAACUGAGACACGGUCCAGACUCCUACGGGAGGCAGCAGUGGGGAAUAUUGCACAAUGGGCGCAAGCCUGAUGCAGCCAUGCCGCGUGUAUGAAGAAGGCCUUCGGGUUGUAAAGUACUUUCAGCGAGGAGGAAGGCGUUAAGGUUAAUAACCUUGGCGAUUGACGUUACUCGCAGAAGAAGCACCGGCUAACUCCGUGCCAGCAGCCGCGGUAAUACGGAGGGUGCAAGCGUUAAUCGGAAUUACUGGGCGUAAAGCGCACGCAGGCGGUCUGUCAAGUCGGAUGUGAAAUCCCCGGGCUCAACCUGGGAACUGCAUUCGAAACUGGCAGGCUAGAGUCUUGUAGAGGGGGUAGAAUUCCAGGUGUAGCGGUGAAAUGCGUAGAGAUCUGGAGGAAUACCGGUGGCGAAGGCGGCCCCCUGGACAAAGACUGACGCUCAGGUGCGAAAGCGUGGGGAGCAAACAGGAUUAGAUACCCUGGUAGUCCACGCCGUAAACGAUGUCGACUUGGAGGUUGUGCCCUUGAGGCGUGGCUUCCGGAGCUAACGCGUUAAGUCGACCGCCUGGGGAGUACGGCCGCAAGGUUAAAACUCAAAUGAAUUGACGGGGGCCCGCACAAGCGGUGGAGCAUGUGGUUUAAUUCGAUGCAACGCGAAGAACCUUACCUACUCUUGACAUCCAGAGAACUUAGCAGAGAUGCUUUGGUGCCUUCGGGAACUCUGAGACAGGUGCUGCAUGGCUGUCGUCAGCUCGUGUUGUGAAAUGUUGGGUUAAGUCCCGCAACGAGCGCAACCCUUAUCCUUUGUUGCCAGCGAUUCGGUCGGGAACUCAAAGGAGACUGCCAGUGAUAAACUGGAGGAAGGUGGGGAUGACGUCAAGUCAUCAUGGCCCUUACGAGUAGGGCUACACACGUGCUACAAUGGCAUAUACAAAGAGAAGCGACCUCGCGAGAGCAAGCGGACCUCAUAAAGUAUGUCGUAGUCCGGAUUGGAGUCUGCAACUCGACUCCAUGAAGUCGGAAUCGCUAGUAAUCGUAGAUCAGAAUGCUACGGUGAAUACGUUCCCGGGCCUUGUACACACCGCCCGUCACACCAUGGGAGUGGGUUGCAAAAGAAGUAGGUAGCUUAACCUUCGGGAGGGCGCUUACCACUUUGUGAUUCAUGACUGGGGUGAAGUCGUAACAAGGUAACCGUAGGGGAACCUGCGGUUGGAUCACCUCCUUACCUUAAAGAA
rnacentral:rRNA from 1 species